rnacentral:sRNA from 1 species
CCUUACACACAGUGUCUUUUUGAUACAGAACUCUUGCUUUGGUUUGGCCUAGAGAUAGGUUGGGCCAGAGGUUUAACAAAACACAAUUUAAUUAUUUUUACAGUUAGUCAAAUUUUGAAUUAAUCUUCAAAACUUUCAACAACGGAUCUCUUGGUUCUCGCAUCGAUGAAGAACGCAGCGAAAUGCGAUAAGUAAUAUGAAUUGCAGAUUUUCGUGAAUCAUCGAAUCUUUGAACGCACAUUGCGCCCUCUGGUAUUCCAGAGGGCAUGCCUGUUUGAGCGUCAUUUCUCUCUCAAACCCCCGGGUUUGGUAUUGAGUGAUACUCUUAGUCGGACUAGGCGUUUGCUUGAAAAGUAUUGGCAUGGGUAGUACUGGAUAGUGCUGUCGACCUCUCAAUGUAUUAGGUUUAUCCAACUCGUUGAAUGGUGUGGCGGGAUAUUUCUGGUAUUGUUGGCCCGGCCUUACAACAACCAAACAAGCUUGACCUCAAAUCAGGUAGGAAUACCCGCUGAACUUAAGCAUAUCAAUAAGCGGAGGAAAAGAAACCAACAGGGAUUGCCUUAGUAGCGGCGAGUGAAGCGGCAAAAGCUCAAAUUUGAAAUCUGGCGCCUUCGGUGUCCGAGUUGUAAUUUGAAGAUUGUAACCUUGGGGUUGGCUCUUGUCUAUGUUUCUUGGAACAGGACGUCACAGAGGGUGAGAAUCCCGUGCGAUGAGAUGCCCAAUUCUAUGUAAGGUGCUUUCGAAGAGUCGAGUUGUUUGGGAAUGCAGCUCUAAGUGGGUGGUAAAUUCCAUCUAAAGCUAAAUAUUGGCGAGAGACCGAUAGCGAACAAGUACAGUGAUGGAAA